rnacentral:rRNA from 1 species
CCUACGGGGGGCAGCAGUGGGGAAUUUUGCGCAAUGCUCGUAAGAGUGACGCAGCGACGCCGCGUGAAUGACGAAGGCCUUCGGGUCGUACAGUUCUUUCGACAGGGAAGAAAAUGCCUAUAAGUAACUGUGUAGUGAUUGACGGUACCUGUAUAAGCAGCCCCGGCUAACUCCGUGCCAGCAGCCGCGGUAAUACGGAGGGGGCUAGCGUUGUUCGGAGUGACUGGGCGUAAAGAGCACGUAGGCGGUGUUGUAAGUCAUUAGUCAAAGACUAGAGCCUAACUUUAGUAAGGCUAGUGAUACUAUAAUACUAGAGUAUCAGAGAGGAUUGCAGAAUUCCUGGUGUAGCGGUGAAAUGCUUAGAUAUCAGGAGGAAUACCGUUAGCGAAGGCAGCACUCUGGCUCGAAACUGACGCUGAGGUGCGAAAGCGUGGGUAGCAAACAGGAUUAGAUACCCCUGUAGUC